GACGAACCGAGCGAACGUUGUUCGGAAUCACUGGGCGUAAAGGGCGCGUAGGCGGCUGUACAAGUCAAAGGUGAAAUCCCUCGGCUCAACUGAGGAACUGCCUUUGAAACUGUACGGCUUGAGGCCGGGAGGGGGUAGCGGAAUUCCCAGUGUAGCGGUGAAAUGCGUAGAUAUCAGGAGGAACACCGGUGGUGUAGACGGCUUUCUGGACCGUAACUGACGCUGAGACACGAAAGCGUGGGUAGCAAACAGG
rnacentral:rRNA from 1 species